UCGAUUUGAAUCUUUUUUUUAUUGACUAGUGUGUGGGUGUCAUUUAUUGUAUUUUUCGAAAUUACAAUUCCAUAACCUUAGCUCUUCACACCAAACUUUGUUUGAAUGGAUUUAAGAUCACACCUGACGCUGCAUCACAUUAAGUUUACAGAGGUAAAACUGAUUAUACCGGAUCGCCUCGACAACCCCUUCUUGAUUAGUUGUCAAGAGUCAAUCUCCAUUAAACGAUUUUAAAGUUUCUUCGGAUUGAUAGCCUCGACUGGCACGCCUCGAGUAUGGUGGCCAUGUGUAAGUGGAGGCAUGUGUCGGUAUGUAAAUGCAAUUAAUCAAGACUGCCACCGGAAUUCAAUGCAACGGCCACUGCAAGAUUUAUGCAUUUCCACCAAAAUUCUUGUUUAUUUCACUUGGAGAUCGAAAUCAAAUUUACAAGUGUGGCUGAGAAUCAAUCGCUUUUAGGUAUCUUGAUGAAACACAGUGGAUCCCCGCAUUAGGAUACAGCCGUUCGUGAUUAAGUGUCGAAGACAUAAAAUGUUCCAAAAAUUAUGUAAAUGAAAUUGGUUACAUUAUUUCUCAUUUUACUAAUGAAAAACCUCCACGUUUCACAAUGAAAAUAAAAGUUUCCAUACAUUUCCAAUUGUAAUACCCACCACCGUA